UGAAGAGGGAAGAGCUCAAAUUUGAAAUCUGGCAGUGUUUUGCUGUCCGAGUUGUAAUCUAGAGAAGUGCUGCCCGUGCUGGACCAUGUACAAGUCUCCUGGAAUGGAGCGUCACAGAGGGUGAGAAUCCCGUCUUUGACAUGGACUGCCAGUGCAUUUGUGGUGUGCUCUCAAAGAGUCGAGUUGUUUGGGAAUGCAGCUCUAAAUGGGUGGUAAACUCCAUCUAAAGCUAAAUAUUGGCGAGAGACCGAUAGCGAACAAGUACCGUGAGGGAAAGAUGAAAAGAACUUUGGAAAGAGAGUUAAACAGUAUGUGAAAUUGUUGAAAGGGAAACGCUUAAAGUCAGUCGUGUCGGCCAGGGAUCAACUCAGUAGUAUCCACUGGGUGUAUUUCCUGAUCUGAUGGGCCAACAUCAGUUUUGACUGCUGGAAAAGGAUAGAGGGAAUGUGGCACCUUUGGGUGUGUUAUAGCUCUCUGUCAGAUGCAGUGGUUGGGACUGAGGAAAGCAGCAUGCCGCAAGGCCGGGUCGUUUCGACCACGUUCAUGCUGAGGAUGUUGGCAUAAUGGCUUUAAUCGACCCGUCUUGAAACACGGACCAAGGAGUCUAACAUGCCUGCGAGUGUUUGGGUGGCAAACCCGAGUGCGGAAUGAAAGUGAAAGGUUGAGAUCCCUGUCAUGGGGAGCAUCGACGCCCGGACCUGAGCUCUUGCAAAGGAUCUGCGGUAGAGCAUGUAUGUUAGGACCCGAAAGAUGGUGAACUAUGCCUGAAUAGGGUGAAGCCAGAGGAAACUCUGGUGGAGGCUCGUAGCGAUUCUGACGUGCAAAUCGAUCGUCGAAUUU
rnacentral:rRNA from 1 species